CGUAUAGGGUAUUAAUAGUUGCUUGCCGAGAUGUCACAGACAUCUGUAUAUAAGAGUAACCUCUACGUUCCUCGUACAACAGAUGUAUCCAGUACAUCCUCGGUUAAAUUCGGAUUUUCCGAUUCGAUCUGCUAAAUACUCGUUAUACGCGGUCAAGUACGAUCAACUACAAUCGGCAACGAAUAUUGUGUGGCACGACGAAGCAAGGUUAAACGUACGAUUCGUACCUACACUGUUAUUAAACGUUCGAGGAUAAAUAUCGUGAAACAUAUUUUCGUAAAUGUCGAUUACCACGAACUGAAUGUUGUACGGAGUGUCUUCGGUUUGUUCAACGUCGUGUCGUUUCGUUCUUUAAAGUGCAGUUUACUUGACGAAAAAACAAAGCAAAAACAAAACGGGACAGCUGUUCUGUAGAGUGUUGCUGACGUAUAAGGCUUUCUAUAGAGCUGUGUGGUUCUAACGGACUUUUCGAAAUUGCUAUCGAGUUUGUCCAUUUAAGUCGACGAUCAUGUCAAAGUCUGAUGCACCAAAGUUCGUAACUGCACUCUUUUCCUUUAAAGGAACUAAUAAUGACGAAUUAUGUUUUAAAAAAGGAGAUGUGAUAACGAUUACUCAGAUGGACGAGGAAGGUUGGUGGGAGGGUACAUUGAACGAUAAAACAGGAUGGUUUCCAUCGAAUUAUGUAAAAGAAUGCAGGGCUCCAGACGGUGGACUUUCAGUGGUCAAAACAUCCCCAGAGAAAACUCUGCAAGAGUCAUCUGCGCAAUAUAAGCUCAAUCGUGAUAUCGUAUUAAAAGACAUAGUUGAUUCUGAAAGAGUGAAUGUAGCAGAGUUACAAGGCUUGAUAAACAGUUUCUUGCAUCCGUUAGAAUCAGCCAAUGUAUUAAACAAAGAAGAGUACAAGCAACUUUUAGGUAAUGUGCACGAAGUUUUGGAAGUGCAUCAACGAUUGCUUAUCAGCUUGGAAGCAGCUAUGACUCAAGGUUGCUCUUCAAGAGUCGGUAAUCUUUUCUUAACGCUAGCACCAAGAUUGAAGUCUAUUCAUACGACGUAUUGUGGAAAUCAUCCACGGGCUGUAUGCAUAUUAGACCGUUUCAGAGACGAACUGAAUGAAUUUAUGGAAGAUAGCGGGGCAAUAUCGCCUGGUAUAUUAGUGCUAACGACGGGCCUUAGUAAACCCUUUCGAAGAUUAGACAAAUACUCUGCUAUGCUUCAAGAGUUAGAAAGGUAUAUGGAAAAGAACCACCCUGAUAGAGGAGAUACCCAGCGCAGUAUAGUCGUGUACAGAGAAAUAGCGGAUCGAUGCGCGUCCAUACGAAAGCAACGCGAAUUGGCGCUUCAAGUAUUAACUAGUGGUAUUAAAGGAUGGGAGGGAGAGGAACUAAGUUCGCUCGGGGAAAUCCUUUACGUCGGAUCUGUUAUUCUUGCAAGCGGAACGACCGGAUUAGACCGUCGGGAUAGAUACUUUGUUCUUUUUUCUUCAACUUUAUUGGUGCUCAGUGCCAGCCCAAGGAUGAGUUCUUUCGUCUACGAAGGAAAGCUCCCGUUGACUGGGAUUAAUAUUAUUCCAAUGGAAGAUACCGACGAAAUUAGAAACGCUUUUGAAAUUACAGGGCCGAUGAUCGAGAGCAUACUUGUGCUCUGCGCCACUAAAGAGGAUCAGCAGCGUUGGAUCGAACUUUUGAUCCAAGAACAAACAACGAGCAGCAGUCUAGUGAAAUCGUCGACCACGUCACGCGUGAGUUGUAAUCUACCUCCGUACGCUCGCCUCUCGAGGUAUUUUGCCAAGCUGGUCAGGAGAAAGAUUAUACGUCCCGAACUACUGAAGAAAUUACUCUAUUUGCAAUAUAUUUUGAAGCCGGAUUUAAGUAACGUAAAAAUGCGAAAGCCUAACGUAACAACUUAUACCCUUUACCCGACGCAAGAUAGUAACCGAUGUCGGUCCAACGAUUCCGAAACGUCGAGUUUCGAAACGAGUAAAAUCGUGGGACAGCAACUGCACGAUAGGACGUCGAGGUUGCACAAAUCAACGUUGACCCUCGAUGUGAAAUACGCAUUGGGCGAUCUCGAUCUUAGCACAGUGGGGAUAAGGAACGACUCGUCUUUCACGGAGUUCGUAUCCGAGCGCAACAGCAUGCGCGAGGCCACCAAAAGUUUACCCGUUACCGUUUUCACUUCCACCGUUACUCUGCCCGGCGUCGUUACCGAUAACGGAAACGAGACUGCUGCCAACGGUCAACCCGUUUCUGGAUCGCGUUUAGUCGAUCUUCCCGUUUCGUUUCCAAUCGCUCGACAAUUGCAUCGAGAUCGGCAUGGCAAUGCAAAGAAGCAAUACGCGGGCGCUGCGACCGGAUGUACUCGAGAACAACCGAUCACCGUUGCUUCCAACGUUCAACGUCCGACGAUUCGCGCGUGCAACACCGACGCGUCACCUGGACAGGAGAUCGAUUUCAAUUCUCGCGCGGAUGCUAGCAUACGUUCGUUAGAUUCAGGAAUGGCCGAAAGCUAUCGGCUGAACUCCUCGGAAAUCAAUUCCUCGUGUAAAUCGUAUACGUGCAACAAGUACGAUAUCCGAAUACCCGAGAGAACUUCUUGCGUCGAGAGUGAAAACGAUGAAAAUAACUUCGAGCAUCAAUGUAUUUGCACCUCGCCCUUUGAUUCUACUCCCAGGGACAGCGCGCAUCUGUCCGAUUUAUCGAAAAGCGCCGAAGACAUUUUGAGUCCUUCGGCUCGCGAUGCGACCGACCCGGGAGCCCGUAAUUUUAGUCAUCGUUUGCACGAUGCCAGCGAAACGCAAAUAGAGGGGAACGCGGUAUACGUGACGACGAACGAGUCGGAAAACUCGACGCAGAGAAGGUUCACGCAACCGAUACCGUACGCCCACCAAACCAUCGUACGAAAAGUUGGAAGAAUGGCGAUCCAACCGGAUCGUCCUGUCGUCAAAGACGAACACGACGGAACGAGUCAGAUCUAUACGUCGGGGCUGUAUGCACAUUGGUGGUUGAAGAAAUCUAUACCGUUUUCUGGAUGCACAGAUCAAGAUCUCCAGUCACCAGAACGGGAAACAGCAACAGCAACGAUCAGUUGCGGAACCUUGUCCACCUCUAGGGAUUAGAGCAUCUUGGUGCAUUGCUUCGUUACGUCCAGCCCCUCCUCUGUACACUUUUAGGGCAUUUGGUAAAACUGAUACCAGUUUGGAUUUAUCACGCGCACCACGACCGUGUAAUGAACGACAAUUCGAGGAAGAUGCGAUUAUAUUGAAGGUGAUCGAGGCGUAUUGCCUUUCCGUCAAUGCUAGGUUCACUGUGCACUCUGGCGAAUCGACUU